UACGGAGGAUCCAAGCGUUAUCCGGAUUUAUUGGGUUUAAAGGGUGCGUAGGCGGCUUAUUAAGUCAGGGGUGAAAGACGGUGGCUCAACCAUCGCAGUGCCCUUGAUACUGAUGAGCUUGAAUACACUUGAGGUAGGCGGAAUGUGACAAGUAGCGGUGAAAUGCAUAGAUAUGUCACAGAACACCAAUUGCGAAGGCAGCUUACUAUGGUUUUAUUGACACUGAGGCACGAAAGCGUGGGGAUCAAACAGG
rnacentral:rRNA from 1 species